ensembl:snoRNA Snord89 small nucleolar RNA, C/D box 89
ACUGAGGAAUGAUGACAAUAAAAGGCCGAAUUGCAGUGUCUCCAUCAGCAGUUUGCUCUCUGUGUGGGUACACGAUGACAAAACCUCCCGAAGCGAACCAUUGGUCUGACCUCAGU